GUUGAAGCUCUUUAUUUUUACCGGCAGCCAAGCUUCUUCCUUGCGCGGUGCUUCUGCUCCAGCUCCUGCGCGCGCGUCCAUCUCCUCUGCUCCUCCGGCGCGCGCUCUGCUUCUUCCUCCUCCCGACCGUGCGUAGCUCCCAGCCGAGCUCAUCUCUCAGCUAGGGCGUGUCCCCUGUUUUUCCUUGGUCUGCGCGCGGUGCUCCCAUGGCACCCGCCCUGCUCGCCCCUUUGCUCGCCGGCCGGAUCUCCAGCGUCGGUCACCCUCCAUGCUCAGCGUCCGGGGUCUUCUCCCUCCCACUCGCCCGGCUUCUGGUUGCCUGCGCGCACUCUCUGCUCCACUGCGCUGUCGCCCAGCCCGGCAGAAUCCCCUGCAGACUCCAUCCAUGGCGUCCUGCUCCUUUUCCUUUCUCUCGUUUUCUCUCUGCUUGACCCCAGCUCCUUGCCGUCGCACCCCUAUUCCUCCAUGGCCGCGAGCUCCCUCUGCUGUCUGCUUCGCCGCGCGCCAAGCCCCCAGCCGAGGUCUCCUCCCUGCCGAGUCCCAGCCGAACUCCUCCGUACAGCGCCCUGUCGAGGCUUCCCGUUCCUGCGCGCCGUCGCCUUGCUGCUCGCCUUGCAUGCGCGGUCCUCUGCCCCUGCGCGUAGCCGGUUUCUCGGUUCGCCGUGGAGCCUGCGCGCUCGGUUCUGUCCAGUUCGUGUCCUGCUCGGUCGUCCGCGCGACACGUCAUCCAUGGCCGCUGUCCGUCGUCGAGUCCCUACGUGCGCACCAGCUCCCUGUGUCGCGUUCCAUUCACCUAAACCGGAGUUUGCCAGUCGUCCCUGCUUGUCGGUGUGCUGCUGCUCUAGUUUGGAUCUCGCCCAAGUCGCUGCCAUGGUUAUACGGUGUUUGGCCCGCGCCGAUUCGCGUUCGCUCAUAUCGCCAUCAUAGUGUUGUCGCUGGUGAUAGGCUUCGCGUGCGUGUCAAACUCCCGCGUCGAGUCUUUUUCCUGCUCGCCGGUGCGUCCUCUCGGCUCGCUUGGCCUUAAUUCUCAUCGCGUCAUCGAUUCCGCUGGUCAGCAUCGUUCGUCAUCGUGUCGCGUGUGUAGCUCUAUAUACGUCACCCUCCUGUGCCGUCGUCGUUCCGUGCGUCAUCAAAAAUUCCAAGAAUCGAGUGAAGACGAAGCCAGCAGCGUGAUAUUCACCAAGUGCGCGACCAAAAAGCUCGGACAUCCUGCGCGACUCAAGUUCAAUUCGUCGAAAUUAUUCAAUCGAAGAAAAGAUCUUCAGCAAUUAAUUACCGAAGAAAAGAAGGCUCCUGGAUGACAUCAACCGGAACCCGUAGUCGUGCUUGCGACUAUCGCGUCGAAUUAGUCAGGGUAAGUUGGUUCGUAUUCCCAUUAACUAGGUCUAUAAAUAGAUUAAAUAGAAUUGUUGGUCACAAUAAAUAUUAUUAAUUUAGCAUGCGUAUAUUGUGAUGAUUGAUUUAGAUAGCUCGCUAAAUCAACUAAUUAAGUUACACAGUUUAGAGAGUUAAUAAAAAGCUAAGAAUAAAAAUAGAUUUUCUAGUGUAAUAUGUCAAUUUGAUUAAUGGAUAUAGUCGAUGUCCUGCUGUGAUAUCCAUGGUGCUUAAUGCUUGGUUUUAAGUGUUUCAUGCUUUUUAGCGUAGAUUAUCUAUAUUAUACUCGUUAUACAUGUGCUCAUACAUGUGCAUCAUGCAUCUCAUGAGGUACGAUAAAUAAUCGCGUGAUGCGGAAGAAGAACCAAGCCGACCCCAAGCGUGGGCUAAUCUACAAGCUGAAGCUGAUGAAUCAACCUGAAGACGGUUAAAUCAAGCAAGUGCUCGGUCGAAGGAUACUCGUCAAGCGGACGUCACCUAACAACACUAACCUAGUGUUACUCAGGCAAGCCCCGGUGCAUGCAACCCCUUUCCUUGUGUUUUUAAAUACUUUUCGCACACUUAAGUCUAGUGAAAUGUGCAUUAGGUUCAUAGGAAUUGCUUGAAACCCUUUGAUGCAUUGCUUUCCUUGAUAUCCAUACCUUUAUAGAUACUUCGGUGAAGUAUCAAAAUAUGAUUUACAAAAAUGCUUAGCCUUGCUUAGAUCUUGUAGAUAGAGGUUAUCCUUAAUUUAACUCGAGAAAGGAUGGCUUCUACCUGCAAGAAUAUUUUCAUUUGGAGCAAUGGUGGGAUCUUACUGCAAAGCUCCCUGUGAUGCUCUUUUCAUCCUUGGGAACAGAAACAAUCCUAAGGAUGGAAGUAUGUAAAUCGAGACUUGGGUUAGGAACAGGUGAUGUUCUACCCAGGUUGAUUAAGGAUUAACGCGUGUGUAGGCUUGAUGAUCGAGGACC
rnacentral:misc_RNA from 1 species